AGGAAUUCCUGGUGUGUUUUGAGAGCUGGGCACCAGGCUCCUCCAGCCCCUGGCCUCUCUUCUCUCUUCAUUCCCCUGGCUGUCUCGCUCUGCCUUCCUGCUGGAAACUGCCCAGGUUUGUGGCUGGAACUCUGUUUCUAGAGACAGAGAAACUGAGAUCAAAGUCAGGGGAGGGAAGAGUGAAGCGGCUAUCUCAGCUCACACGGGGACUGCUCCUACAACUGUCGCAUCUCGGUGGGAAGCAGAUGAGAGAAGCCAGACACCAUCGGUACUCACACGUGAGUGUGCCGGUAUGAAAUGUUGGAGAGAGGCAGGAGAGACAGAGAUGAGUGGCUACCAGAAGCUGUGGGAGGAAAGGAAUCAGAGGUGACAGCUAAUGGGUCUGGGAUCUCACUCUGGGAUGAUGCGGAUAUUCUGGAAUUAAAUCAUGGUGAUGGUUGUGCAAUUCUGUAAAGAACUAAAAGCUGAAAUGGGGGAAGUGCGGGCAUACGGAUUACAUCCCAACACAAUUUAUAUGAGUGCAUCAGCGUCAUCUCACUAAACACAUCAUGAGUUGAAAACAGUAGGAACGAACAGUUAGUGCUGCACUGGUGCUGCCCAAUGUCUCAGCCAGGUGGCACGGCUCUCUAGUGUGCUUCCCCCGCCCCCCCCGACUGUGACUCUGGAGCUGACCCCGGGCAUGGUGUCUCUGCCCAGUGCAGAGAGAGACUUAAAUUUAUCACCAGCCUGGGAAAAGUUUUUGAUGGGACAGUGGAAGCCCAGUGCAUUCAUAAGGUUGAAAAUGUCUAGGAGGAACAAUUGUACUCAUGAGGGCCCCAAGACAGUUUGUGUACUCUGGUGAGAGCAGUCCAGACCCUGGUGCAGAAGCAAUUCGUGGGAGAAGCUCCCUGGAGGUCAUUUCUGUGGUACUUUGUAGUUCUUGUUGGUUAAGUUCUGUACACCUCAGAGUCUUUGGGGCUCACUAAUAUGCUCCUUAAGAACUGAGGAUCCCCUAAGUUCCUGAUCUUUCUGACUUCCAUGGAGAGGGGUGAGGUCUGGUGUGGCGAGGAUAAAGCCCUUAGUUCUUAGCUCUGUGUCAAACACUCCAUGGGCCUGCUUGGCCUAGGCCUGGACUCAGCCAAAACCCACAGACUUAAGCUCUCAGCCAUUGUUAUUGCCAACUCUGACCACUGUUGCUCAUCCCUGGCCCUCCACAUCCUCCCUGGACCCGGAUGAGGGAUCAGGGCUGUGUGAGGCUUGGCAAGUGAGGUCAGAGACUGGGUAGCAAAGAGGCGUGCACUGCCGAGUUCUAUGAAGCAGAGCCUUCACAUCUGAACUAUGAAGCCUGGGCUUUUUUGGCUUCCUACAUCAGUGAGCCAUUAUCUGCUAGCCAUUAUCAUGAGCUAGCGUGAGUUCCUAUGGCACGUAGGCAAUAUCUUUUUUUCACUCGCCCCUGACUGCCCUGGCCAGGGAAGAUAGGUGCAGAAUUGACUGAUUUCCUGAGGCCGACCAGGAACUCUCCGCACGGAUCUUCCCGGAGUCAAGAGAGGGGCCUAUGUAGUGGGAGAAGAGUAGACAGUGCCACAUCUAGUUCUGACUGCUGAGAUUGUGGUUCCAGUCCCUGGCUUCUCUAGGAUCAUACACUUAUUGUGCUCUGCACAGUGGUUUGUCAUGCCUACAUGUUUAUCCUCUGGGGCAGGAGUCUCCCUCGGGCACUUCAGAGGCAGGGUACAGAGUGUGGACUGUAGGCUGAUAAAAGGAAUGUCACCUGAGAAGUGGAAUGUCUCAAUGUCUCCUGAUAUCUGCCCGGACAUUUGAGUCCUGUGUAGCCGGAGGGUAGAGAAUGAGCAGGAUAGAAUAGACGGAGCCAGCAGGACAGACAGGGGCCAGAUUAUCAAGGGUCUUGCAAGCCAUUUAUGUGAACAUGUAGCUUUAUCCUACGAGGGGUGGGGCAUAUAAAAGGUUACCUUGUGGAGAGUAGCAUCAUCACCAUCCCCACCAUAACCACCAACCUCUGUAACCGCGUCAUCACCAGCCAUCAUCCCUGCCACUACCACCAUCAUCGCCACCAUCGCCACCAUUAUGAACACCGUCACUGCCGUUAUUACCAUCACAGAUGACAUAUGUUCUGUCAAGAAUGUACCAGGCUCUGUUCUAAACACUCUCCCACAUGAGCCCUGUUGGCAGUUCUCUGACUUGAUUGAUGCUGUUGCUCAUUCCAAUUUCAAAGCUGCCAUAACAUGGAUGAACAUCAAACGGGAGCCCAGGGCAGAACCAGAAUCGACUCCACAUCUCCCUGACUCUGAAACCUGAGCCCCCGAGAACUGAUCCUACGAAUGAAGAAUGAGAAUUAGGGAGAUGGCUGAUGUCAGAGGUGAGAAGCAGUAAGGCAUGAUGAUUGGUCCCAGAAAGACUCAGGAGACACAAGGGGGCAGAACCGGAAAGGAAUGCUUAUCUAUUCGGGGAUGAAGAAAGUGGGGUGCAGUGAACACCGAGCCCUAGGUUUCUGGAAUGAACAGACUGGGCAGCACUGUUUGUGGACUCACAGGAUGAAGUUUUGGUGGAUGAACGAGUGGAUGAAGGAAGACAUGGAGAGUGGAGGUGGACCUGAAUGGAAUGUACGGAGAUCCCCAUCUCAUACACAAGCAGCGGCUUUCAUGUUGAUACCAUGUGGGAUGCUCUUGAUUUGAGGUAAGGGUCAAAUGUAAGUAUUUCAUGGAAAUGGAUGAUUGGACUUGGCCAUCCCUGGCACUCUAUACUAUGACAUCGAAAAGGGGUUCGGUAACGAGCUGUCUGUGGAGGAAACAGCAUGGAGGAAAACACCAAAACAACAUUUUCUGAAAAAUUAUAAUACGAUUUGUUUAAUAUAUUUAAAUGUGCAUAUUUCAAUGCAUAUUAAUAAGUGUACAAAUUGUGUGUUGUGAGUCAUGCUUCCCCCACUCCUAACUCAUAAGGGACACACUUGGAGACCACUGAUCUUCUCCACGACAGAAGCCUCAGGAAGAGACUGUGCUCCGCAUCUCCUGAGACUUUCAACUGCCGGAGUCAGGAUCCCAGGUCAGGGCUCAGGGCUUCAGGAAGUGUGACACAGUCAAACGCUAUGCAGAACUCAUCUGUUUAUUCCAGUGCGCAGAAGAGGUGAGUGUUUACGCGGAGCCUCCCUUCUCAUCGGGAGCCCCAUCACUUCCUCUGCACACGCUCUCACAGGACACGACUUCUCACCAGGCUGUCCACACAAGCAUACAGGGGGCUUUCCUCCAGCAGAGACCCAGGUGGAGACCCUUCAGCCACCCCGAGGAGGCCAGGCUGUGUUCCUGGAGCCCACAGCCCACCAACGUCUCUUCUGAGGACUGGGCCCUGCUUAUCAUUUAUAGUAUGUUAUAGUAUGGCCAUGGCUGGGUUCCAUUCUAGCACAGAAUCCUAGCAUCCGCUUCUUACAUCACCUGUUUUCCUUUCCUGGCUACAAGUGUUAAGUUUACUGGGGGGCAAGGGGAGGGGUGGAAAAGGGAUUGCCCCAGGUCUUCUCUGUCGGGGUUCAAGGUGUUUUGUUGUUGUUGUGUUGUUUUUGCCAAGUAAAGCGCUCCCUUUGUAA